UGUGCCGAAUAGACGAUUAAGAAGACCUGCAAGGCCACAUCCAGUUCCAGUUGCAAUACCCAAAAGAAUAUUCUGUUGCUUCGCUGAUCUAACACAUUGCCUUUUUAUCAGAUCAAACUCUUUUCCAUGUGGACAACUUGAGCAACUGUAAUUUCCAAAGGUAUUUUGACAUGUCCCAUUGCAGUAGUUUGGUAGUGUGCAUUCAUCAAUAUCAUGUUCCUGAAUGUCCCAUGUGCUCUUCUUGAUGUCCUUUUUUCUCCUUCCUCGGCGGU
rnacentral:pre_miRNA from 1 species